rnacentral:rRNA from 1 species
AUUGAACGCUGGCGGCAGGCCUAACACAUGCAAGUCGAGCGGAUGAAGGGAGCUUGCUCCUGGAUUCAGCGGCGGACGGGUGAGUAAUGCCUAGGAAUCUGCCUGGUAGUGGGGGAUAACGUCCAGAAACGGGCGCUAAUACCGCAUACGUCCUGAGGGAGAAAGUGGGGGAUCUUCGGACCUCACGCUAUCAGAUGAGCCUAGGUCGGAUUAGCUAGUUGGUGGGGUAAAGGCCUACCAAGGCGACGAUCCAUAACUGGUCUGAGAGGAUGAUCAGUCACACUGGAACUGAGAAACGGUCCAGACUCCUACGGGAAGCAGCAGUGGGGAAUAUUGGACAAUGGGCGAAAGCCUGAUCCAGCCAUGCCGCGUGUGUGAAGAAGGUCUUCGGAUGGUAAAGCACUUUAAGUUGGGAGGAAGGGCAGUAAGUUAAUACCUUGCUGUUUUGACGGUACCAACAGAAUAAGCACCGGCUAACUUCGUG